UACGGAGGGUGCAAGCGUUUGUCCGGAUUUAUUGGGUUUAAAGGGUGCGUAGGCGGUUCUUUUAAGUCUGGGGUGAAAGCCCGUUGCUCAACAACGGAACUGCCCUGGAAACUGGAGGACUUGAGUACAGACGAGGGUGGCGGAAUGGAUGCUGUAGCGGUGAAAUGCAUAGAUAGCAUCCAGAACCCCCGAUUGCGAAGGCAGCUGCCUAGACUGUAACUGACGCUGAGGCACGAAAGCGUGGGGAGCGAACAGG
rnacentral:rRNA from 1 species